rnacentral:rRNA from 1 species
GAUGAACGCUGGCGGCGUGCCUAAUACAUGCAAGUCGAGCGAACAGACGAGGAGCUUGCUCCUUUGAUGUUAGCGGCGGACGGGUGAGUAACACGUAGGUAACCUACCUAUAAGACUGGGAUAACUUCGGGAAACCGGAGCUAAUACCGGAUAAUAUUUUGAACCGCAUGGUUCGAUAGUGAAAGAUGGCUUUGCUAUCACUUAUAGAUGGACCUGCGCCGUAUUAGCUAGUUGGUAAGGUAACGGCUUACCAAGGCAACGAUACGUAGCCGACCUGAGAGGGUGAUCGGCCACACUGGAACUGAGACACGGUCCAGACUCCUACGGGAGGCAGCAGUAGGGAAUCUUCCGCAAUGGGCGAAAGCCUGACGGAGCAACGCCGCGUGAGUGAUGAAGGUCUUCGGAUCGUAAAACUCUGUUAUUAGGGAAGAACAAACGUGUAAGUAAUUGUGCACGUCUUGACGGUACCUAAUCAGAAAGCCACGGCUAACUACGUG